rnacentral:misc_RNA from 1 species
CAUGCCGCUCAUGUACUGGUGUACCAUCGGUUUCCUCCAGCAGGUUGGAAUCGCUACUUGACGGCUUGGCAGCUGGACUGAUGAUAUUUCUGAACCAAGCACCCUGGAAACGGGGACUACCUCUGCUUGAAUCCUUCGGUGACUCGAGGGUUGUGGCAGACUUUGAGGCCACAUUUGAAAGGAACCUGUAAGCCACUUUGCUGGCUGACACAAUUUCCGUCUUUGCUUGUCUGAACUUUAAAGCUGCAUUUUCUGCAACAACCACGGCAGUAUUACCAGCUUGGGUCAACCGCUUUGCAAACGCUGGUGAUACUGCCGUGGUUGUUG